AAGUCGUACGAUGGAAGGCCCAUUCGGGGUGGAUUAGUGGCGAACGGGUGAGUAACACUGUGGGCAAUCUGCCCUUCACUCUGGGACAAGCCCUGGAAACGGGGUCUAAUACCGGAUACCACUCCUGCCUGCAUGGGCGGGGGUUGAAAGCUCCGGCGGUGAAGGAUGAGCCCGCGGCCUAUCAGCUUGUUGGUGGGGUAAUGGCCCACCAAGGCGACGACGGGUAGCCGGCCUGAGAGGGCGACCGGCCACACUGGGACUGAGACACGGCCCAGACUCCUACGGGAGGCAGCAGUGGGGAAUAUUGCACAAUGGGCGAAAGCCUGAUGCAGCGACGCCGCGUGAGGGAUGACGGCCUUCGGGUUGUAAACCUCUUUCAGCAGGGAAGAAGCGAAAGUGACGGUACCUGCAGAAGAAGCGCCGGCUAACUACGUGCCAGCAGCCGCGGUAAUACGUAGGGCGCAAGCGUUGUCCGGAAUUAUUGGGCGUAAAGAGCUCGUAGGCGGCUUGUCACGUCGGAUGUGAAAGCCCGAGGCUUAACCUCGGGUCUGCAUUCGAUACGGGCUAGCUAGAGUGUGGUAGGGGAGAUCGGAAUUCCUGGUGUAGCGGUGAAAUGCGCAGAUAUCAGGAGGAACACCGGUGGCGAAGGCGGAUCUCUGGGCCAUUACUGACGCUGAGGAGCGAAAGCGUGGGG
rnacentral:rRNA from 1 species